rnacentral:rRNA from 1 species
GAAACGCUGGCGGCAUGCCUAACACAUGCAAGUCGAACGCAUCACCUUCGGGUGAUGAGUGGCGAACGGGUGAGUAACACGUAAGGAACCAACCCUAGACACGAGGAUAACUCUGGGAAACUGGAGCUAAUACUGGAUAGGAUGCUUGGACAAAAGUCCGGGUAUUUAAAGGCGCUUUCGGGCGGUGGUGUAGGAUGGUCUUGCGUCGCAUUAGAUAGUUGGUGAGGGUAACGGCCCACCAAGUCAACGAUGCGUAGCUGAGCUGAGAGGCUGAACAGCCACACUGGGACUGAGACACGGCCCAGACUCCUACGGGAGGCAGCAGUAGGGAAUUUUCGGCAAUGGGGGGAACCCUGACCGAGCAAUGCCGCGUGAACGAAGAAGGUCUUCGGAUUGUAAAGUUCUUUUAUUGGAGAAGAAAAGGUAGAGCAGGAAAUGGCUUUGCAUUGACGGUAUCCAUUGAAUAAGCCCAGAGAUAACUACGUGCCAGCAGCCGCGGUAAUAC